rnacentral:lncRNA from 1 species
GCUCACGCCUGACCAGAGCACCUGCUUCACAGGGGGCGUUCCGCGCGUCCUUCCUCCCUG